CAUGUGUAACACAGCGUGGUGUGAUAUGGAAUGACUGAGGGUGGGCGUUAGAUGGGGUGGUCACAGAUAACCUCUUUUAGAAGCUGGCACUUGAGCUGAGACCUAACCCAGAGGAGAAGGAGUCAGGCAUGCAAUCCAGCAAAGGCAGACCAGGAGGUGGGACCCGGCAGCAAGAAUGUUCUGCUUGCCACUUCCCUAUUCUGCACACAAAUGCAGUUUCUCUGUCACUGGCAUGUUACAAUCUGCUGAAGAAAUUGCUCUCUGAGUCCUGGGAAAGGAGUAAUAAAUAUUGAACGGAACAGGAUUCCAAGGUGCACCGACUGCUAGAGAAACAUACCGGCACUGGGGGAAGGUGCGAGAAUACGCAGGUACUUUGAUCCCAGGGUCAAGAUAAGGUGAGGGCUGCAGAAACCGCUCCCCCACCCCCGUAAUGCCGCGUCUCACUACCAUGGCUAAUUGGCAGAACAGUCCGGGUGAACAAGUGCAGGACGGCCAAAUCGCAGCGCUGUUUCACACAACGUCAUUCCAAGUCACCAAGUGACAGGAUUUAGCACUCUGUGUCUGGCAGCAACCAGCAGCGAAGCAGAGAGAAUUCCACUGGAUUAUCCAAAGCAUCUGACCCGCAAAUGAGGAGUGAGGAGGACAUUUCUUAAAAACAACUCCUGAGUGGUACAGUGAGCCAAUGCGACAUUGAACAGAGACACACAAAUAUCCAGCCGCCUCUGAGGCAAAAGGUCAAUUUCUCGUGCUUGUCCCUGUUCUUCAGGAUCCAAGUUCUUGAUCUAUGCUCAGGUCCUCGUUUUCCUAGCCAAAAGGGGAGACGUGAAGUAGACAUGGGCCAGAUGGGCAGCGCAAGGCCCAGACUCCGUGUCUGACUCCAGAGGGGCAUUACAGCUGAAGUGGAGAGCAGGGUCAGUGGGAGAGGAAGAAGGUGCCAUCAGAAACGCAGGCCAUGUCUCCUAGAGAUAAAGUUUCGAUGGGUUGGUUUUUCAGUUGAAGAAGCUGGUAUUUGCAGCCAGAUCUUGAUCUCUGGCAAGCCCACCACAGAUCCCCGGUUAGUGACGAGGGGACAGAAUGAAGGAAAGAAGCAAAUUUCCAUUUAACAAGAAGUGGAUAGUCCUGAACCGCCCUGCCUUAUGGAUUUCUGAACUUUUUCUUUCUAAUUCUCUUAACCAAGUCCUGAGAUCCCCCAUGCCUCAUCCUUCUCUCCUCCAAGCCCUUCUCACACAGCUGUUAGGGUUGCUGAGCUUAAUGGAAAAUUUCACAGUACACAGCAAGUCAAUUUUGGGUUGUCCCACCCAUUCAAAAGUUGUAGAAUGAGCUUGUUGCUCCAGCCUGGAACACAUCUAACUGGAACACAGAGGUAAGAGUUACAUAUGAACAACAGACUACCUUCUCGGUCCUCUUGGCAUCCUCUAAAUCACCUUUCAUGACACUCUUAUAUUACUUAGUCAUUCGCUCAUUUACUUAUUCAACAAAUAUUUACUAAGUCUUAAUAUGUGUCAGGCACCAUUCUCAAUGCUGAGGAUACAGCAAUGAACAAAAGGGACCGAAAUCCCUGCCCCUGUGGUAUUUACAAGCGAGUGCAGGGAAGGUCAGGCAAAACAAGAAAAACAUGUCAUGAAAAACAAAACAGUAGAGGAUUUAUUCCAGAUUACAAGAAACCAAAGAGACGUUACCAAGUACAACGUGUAAACCUUGAUUCUAUCUGGGGUCAGAAAACAAACAGCUAAAUAUAUUUGAGAACAAUCAGGGAAAUUGUAACUUGCAUUAGAUGUUAGAUGAUGUUAUGGAAUUAUUGUUUAUUUUGUUAAAUGUGAUAAUGACAUAGGGAUUAUGCAGGAGAAUAGGAGAAUGCCCUUAUUGUUAGGAGUAUGUAGGGGUAAGGUGUCAGGAUUCCUGUAACUUAGUUUCAAAUGAUCUAUCAUCUAUCUAUCUAUCUAUCUAUCUAUCUAUCUAUCUAUCUAUGAUCUAUCUACCUACUACCUACCUACCUGCCAUGCACAAAUGUAACAAAAUGUCAGCAUUUGGUGAAUCCAGGUAAAGGGCAUAGAGGUGUCUUUAUAACUUUCUUGUAGGUUUCAAAAUUUUCAAAUAAGGAGUGGUGGGAGUGGGGGAAACUUAUUCCAUUUCUAGUCAGAAAUGUGACUCAUGAUUAAUUAGUUUGACUCUUGUUGCUCAACAUUUUUCUAUACGUGGGUUGAUCCCUCAUCCUGAAGUAUUUCCUUUCAUCAUAUACCUAGCAACACUUUCCCUUUUCUGUUGUGGCCAGAGGAAAGGCUAGGAUAUGGGAUAGCCACGGGAUAUUCUCUCAAAAUAUCUCUUUGCUAUGACUUUGUUAAAUUAACAUUAAGUGGAGCACGGGGUGCCAGAAGGCGAGUCUUGGUUCAACAGUAGCCCACAAGAGAAACUGAAAUAGAUACAUGUAUUUCUGACAGGUCCUGGAAGAAGCACAAAGCACACUCUGAGGGAUCACAGGGGGAGGUCAAGGCAAGGUGCAGACAGAGAGCGGUAGGACCUGGGGCAACAUGCCUUUAUUAGGGUCUGUGGGAGGAGUGCUUUGGGGUCCCCAGGCUAAGGCCAGAUUGGUCAAUUCAAACCAAACAAGUGAGGCUUUAGUGAGUUCCAUGGGGGUCUUGUUUAAUGGGCGCACCAGGGGAAGGCCCUGGGAGGUAGGGGAGAUUGCUGAUCACAAGGGUUGUUAGGGAAGUCACAUCAGGAAGUCAACUGCUUGUGGUUCUUCCAGCUGUUAUCCAGAGCAUUAGAUUGCACAAGGGGACUAGUGUCAGUUUAAGGUCCCUGCAGGCCAAACAAAUUGGAUGCUGAGGCAGCAAUACCAUGGAGCAGCUUAGCUAAAUUCUGUACACUCUUCCUUCAACUUGAUCUGAAAUAGUGCUUUCACAUAUCUGUUAUUCACACACUUUAUAGCUGAAUUCAAGCUAGUAAUAAAAUAAUUACAAAGUACAGGAAAAACACAAGGAUGAAGUAGGAAGCAAAUUAAGCCAUGAAGCCAGUAAUAUAGGGUGUAUAUUAGAUUCCUAUGGUUGCUGUAAUAAAGUAGCACAAACUUAGUGCCUUGAAACAACUGAAAUUUAUUCUCUUAACAGUUCUGGAGGCCAUCAGUCCACCACGUGUCUUACAGGGCUAACAUCAGCGUGUCUGCAGGGCUGGUUCCUUCUUCUCUAGGGGAGACUGUUUCCUUGGCUUUUCAGUCUUCUAGAGGCUGUCCUUAUUCCUUGGCUUGUGGCCCUUUCCUCCCACUGGUUUUGGCUUUCACACUACUUUUUCCUCUCCUGUCAUCAAACCUUGUCUGCCACUUACAAGUGAUUAUAUUAUCCAGGAUAAUCUCCCCCAACUCAAGAUCCUUAACUUAAUCCUAUCUGCAAAGUUCUUCUUGCCAAAUAAAAUGACAUUCACAGGCUCCAGGCAUUAGGACCUGGGUAUCUUUGGGUGCCAUUAUUGAGUUUACCACAGCAUGCGAAAGGGUCAUGUAAAUAAGUAAGAAAUAAAAGAGAGGAUCCUCACUAAUUCUUUGAAAAUAAGUUAGAAGGUAACAUAUCAUUCUUCCUCAGAAAGGGUAUCUCUCAUCACCAUAAACACUUAGACUGAGAGAGCAAACCGGGAUGGAGGUACUCAGACCUCAUGUUGCUUCCGGGAUCUACCACUUAUUUAAUGUUGGGCCAAUUACUUAUCUGCUUUGCUUCAACUCCCUCGUCUUUAAACCAGAGAUGGUAAUAUUUUCUCAAAUGGUGGUUGAGAAGAUUCAAUACUAUAAUGCAUGAAAAGAUUUAACACAGUUCCUGACACAUUUAAAUAAUGCCUAUUAUAAUUAUUUUAUUUUUCAUGGAAUAGGACGUGCAACCCUCCUGAUGCUGAUCAGUACACAGUAUUUCCAGGGGCCGCUAGUGACCCCUUCUAUGUGCAUUCUAUGUAGCAUUCUACAUAAGAUAAUAAGUAAAAAGCUUACUCAAAUGUCAAUUUUUUCCCCCAAUUUUAAGCACAGUGGAUAGGAGUAUCUCUAAACUGCAUCGCAAACUUCCUUGUCUUACUAAAAAAUAAUAGUAAAUAUAGUUAUCCUUUGCUUAUUAAUUCUGACUCAACAUUAUGAAUAUGGCUUAUUGUCCUGGAACAUAAUAGAAAGAUAUCCUCAAGGAGCAAAAAGAUUCAUAAAAUCAUCUAUUUGACUGCUACAUGGUAACUGACCUUCAAAUACCAUUCAUUUUUUAUUUUUUAUUUUUUAUUUUUUUAGUAUGAAAUUUAUUGUCAAAUUGGUUUCCAUACAACACCCAGUGCUUGCACUGCGCAAACACCCAACACUGUGCUUCUGUGGAUCAAAUACCGUUUUUAAUUUGGAUUUUCUCUUCACCGCUUGGGUCUCUAGUGACUCUCUUUUCUGAUAACACUUAUCACGACUGUCAGUGUGUGGCUGUGAUAAUGUGAUUUAUAAAAUAUAUAUAUUUGGUCAUUGGGAUGACCACAAUAUAUAUCUUGUAUGUAUUUGGUCUUCAUGCACAGUUCCUGGUUCACAGCUCCCAAAACACUUGGAAUUUCCUAAGUGUUCAGAGUGAUCAAGGUGUCUUUUGUUAUGUGAAUGAGUGACUUUUGAAAGCACCUAAGGAUGUGGCUGCCAGAACCAACCUUGGGAUUAGAGGGUUGGAACUUUCAGUCCCAUCCCCCUACUGCCAGGGAAGAGAGAUGGGCUGGAGAUUGAGCUCCACCUCCAGAAGCCAAUGAUUUGAUCAACCACACCUAUGUAAUAAAGCCUUCAUAAAAACACAAAAGGAUGGGGUUCUGAGAGCUUCUGGGUUGGGGAAUAUGGGGAGCUUCGGGGAGAGUGGUGCAACUAGAGAGGGCAGGCAAGCCCAGCGCCCUUUCCCCAUACCUUGCCUUAUGCGUCCUUUUAUCUGCUUCUGAGUUAAAUCCUUUCAGAAUAAACUGGUAAUCCAGUAAGUAGAAAGUUUCUCUGAGUUCUGUGAGCUGCCCUAGCAAGUUACUCUCAAACCUGAGGAGGAAGUACUGGGAACCUCUGAUAUAUACAGUUAAUUGGUCAAAAGUACAGGUUAACAGCCUGGGCUUGUGACUGGCAUCUGAAGUAAGGAGGUGAGGGGCAGUCUUGUAGGCCAGAACCCUUACUCUGUGGAAUCUGAUGCUAUUUCCAGGUUGACAGUGUCAGAAUUUAGGUGAAUUAAGAUGAAUUCUUGGACACCUUGCUGGUGUUGUGUGGGAAGCCCCCACCCUCCACGUCUGAAAUCGGUUCUGGGAACUUAAUUGAGUGGCUAAGGCUAGCAACACUUUAGACUACUCUCACUACUUUUUAUCUGCAGCUGAUGACCUAAUCAGUAUUUGAAGAUUAUGCAUUUAUAAGAGGUUCCCUGGGAAACGCUUAAGAGACUUCCUGCCCUGCCUACUAAGACACAUGUAAACCCUGUAAACACUAGCUCUUCAGGGUCCAUUUUUACUUACUUUCGAAUUAGUGACUAUAUUUUGAACACCUUAGUAGUUUGACCGCUACGUUGUUAAGAUAUUAAAGAGUUCAACCACGUCAGACACUAGCCUGAGGAUCUAAGGUUUAAUGCAAUCAAAAGACUAGAAAAUUAAUCGGCUUAAGGUGUGAAAAUAUCUUCACUUUAAUGAUCAUAUCUUAUCAAAAUGACCCAGUAAUUGCUCUGUCUACCUGAAGUUACAGAGUUCUCAUGUUUUUGUUUACAAUGAACAUCAGACAAUCCUUAAGGCUACUGACGGACAUUCUGUACCCAUAUAGAUACAAAUGUAUACGUAAACAGAGGAAAUCUAGAUUACCCAGUGAUUUAGCCAUAUUAAUUCUGGCUUCUACAUUUUUACUGUCAACAUUAACGCUCCUGCUUAAUUGAGCCCUUUGUUGAUAAAAUACUUUUUGUGUUUGUUGGUUUAUUUCUCCCCCAAAUUGCUUCUUGCCCUCAGGGAAGGUGUGUGAACUAACAAGUCUUAUCUUUGCUGUAGACUGGGGCCUCGCUGUCAGUCUUAGCUGUGGCUCAUUUUUUGUUUUUUUUUUUUUAUGUUUAUUUAUUUUUCACACACACACACACACACACACACACACACACACACACACACACAUAGUGUGAGUGGGGGAGGGGCAGAGAGCAAGAGGGAGACACAGAAUCUGAAGUAGGCUCCAGGCUCUGAGCUGUCAGCACUGAGCCCAAUGUGGGGCUCAAACUCACGAACUGUGAGAUCAUGAGCCUAGCGGAAGUUGGACGCUUAACCAACUGAGCUACCCAGGCGCCCCAGCUGUGGCCCAUUUUUAAGUGGAAAGGAGACCAGAACCCUCAGACAGACAAGUUGGUAUAGUACACAAUUAAAAUUCAAUGAAUUCUCAGAUGAGCCAUACCUAUAUUUAAGCAUAAGUAUAAAAUUCUUAAUAGAACCAACAAACUCAAUUUUGGGGUGAACUGUCAUUCAAAUUAUUCGUGUCACUGGUAUUUGCAGGAUGACAAGACAUUUUAGGUACACCUAUUAAGUGUUACUAAAAUGUAUUUUUAUCAGUACUGUUCUUCAUGCAACAUAGUCCAUUCAUGUUAGCUUACAAAACAGAUGUAAUGAAUAUAGUGAUACAUGGUGCUUCUUUCUCUGUAUUUGCCAGGAAUCUGAAGAAUCAUGAGAUUUUCUUGUCCUGCCCACAAUGGCUUUAAAGAGCACAUGUAUUAGGUGUAUACCAAUAACAGUACAAUAAUAGGUGCCAUAUAUGGGGUACCUACUAAGAGUUAAGCACUAUAUAGAGUGCUUUUUAUAUUGUGGUGGUUUUCAGAUACAUCUACAAAAUCUUUUGAAGGUGGAUCCCAAUUCUUUUCCCCUUGAGUAUGGGCUAAACUUACUGAUUCAUUUCUAAUGAAUAGAAUAGAAUGAAAGUGACAGUGUGUGACUUCAGAGACUAGUUCAUAAAAGGCACUGUGGCAUCCUGCUUGCUCUCUCUGAGAUCACUUUUUCUGGGGAAGUCACUGCCAUAAUCAUGAGGAACAUGUGAACUGUUGAGGCCUCCUGCCAACAGUGAUAUAAGUGAGCAAGCCUUCAGAUGGCUGCAGCCCCAACCUAAAUCUUGAUUUCAGUCUUUCGAGGGAGAACCAUCCAAGCAAGUUGAUUCUGCAUUCCUGAUGCUUAGAAACUGUGUGAAAUAAUAAAUGUUUAUUGUUUUAAGCCUCUAAGGUUUGGGGUAAAUAUAUCACAUAGCAAUAGAUAACUAAUACAUACACACACACACACACACACACACACACACACACACACACACACAUUUUAUUCUCACAACUACCAGGAGACGAGUGGUAUUAUGAGGAAACAAAGGCUCAGGUGGUUACUUAACUUACUCAAGGCCACACAGCUAGUGGUUGCAGACCCAUGAUACUACGUCCAUAUUUGCUCCACUAUAUUAUACUAUUUCUUUUCAGAUCCUGUUUCUUUUAGGCAGCUUCUUAGCUAUCCCUCCCAACUCUGAUUAGCUUGCCAUCAAUGC